CUGAUAUGUCAUUAUGUAUUCCAUUAAAACCCAUCAUAGCAGCUAAUUUAUUACAUGUGAAGUGCCUGUGUUCCAGACCUUCCAAAAAAUAAUUUUAAUUUCCCCUCAAAUGUAAACCAGGUAAAUCGUGAAGAUUAUCCAUCCUUUAAAUCACCGCAUAAUCUACCCCUUAUGAAGGAAUCACCCAAAAAACAAAACAAAAAACCACUAGUCUUUAAACCAGAGAUAGUGUAGCUGAGAGAUGUACAAAUACCGAACAGACAGAGAUACAGAGGAGACAAAGAGAUUCCGGGAGGAGCUAAGCUGUUACUGAACUAUAGAAGAGAGAGGAACUUCCAUAUUCAGCAGAGUUCAAUACACAAACCAGAAACAUUACCUUUAUCCAACAUGCUGUCACUGCAUCAUUGUGUUUUUUUUCCACUGUUUCUUUACAUUCUGACAGGCAUCAGCUGUGAUGAACUCACUCCAGUCAAGGAUGAAGAGUCCAGUUUAGAAGACAACAUUGUUAAUCUGUCCUACAGAUACUACAAAAAAGCAACUAGUGGUGAUGAGUUUUACUGGUAUCGUCGGUAUGCAGGAAAACCACCAGAGUUCCUCAUAUCCCAUUUGGGAAGUGGAGAAAAGUUAAAUAACCCAGUCUCUAGACUGUCAGUUACAGUGAGUGAGGAUAAAACCCAAAUGGAUCUGCAGAUCUCCUCUGCUGCAGUGACAGACUCUGCUCUGUACUACUGUGCUGUGAGGCCCACAGUGACAGCAAACCCACAGUCUCUGUACAAAAACACAAGCUGACACACUGACAAGCUGCUGGAAGCCUUUUUUCCACACUGUUGGACUCAACUUUUUAGCUCCACUAGAGGGCGACAUUAUCAAGUAGGCGGUGCACUACUUCUGCACUGUGUUCAACCAUUCUGUCAAUAAUAACUGCUGCUGUGAAGAGAACAAUUGUCACACUGAAUGUUGAACAUCAGCUAGUUUCUCCUGUUGAUUUAAACCUUGUUGUAGAGAUGGAACAUUGGCUGUGGAUUAUUCUUGCUGCUCUUUUCUUUGGUAAGAUAGAAAGCACAACAUGUUUUUAUUCUUUUCUAAAGAUUGAUGGAAACUGGAGUUCAGAGCAGAAAUCUCUCAACAGUUGAGCUGUUUCUGUCC
rnacentral:lncRNA from 15 species